rnacentral:rRNA from 1 species
GUGGGGAAUAUUGGGCAAUGGGCGAAAGCCUGACCCAGCAACGCCGCGUGAAGGAAGAAGGUUUUCGGAUCGUAAACUUCUAUCCUUGGUGAAGAUAAUGACGGUAGCCAAGAAGGAAGCCCCGGCUAACUACGUGCCAGCAGCCGCGGUAAUACGUAGGGGGCAAGCGUUGUCCGGAAUGAUUGGGCGUAAAGGGCGCGUAGGCGGCCUGGUAAGUCUGGAGUAAAAGUCCUGCUUUUAAGGUGGGAAUUGGUUUGGAUGCUGUCGGGCUUGAGUGCAGGAUAGGUAAGUGGAAUUCCCGGUGUAGCGGUGAAAUGCGUAGAGAUCGGGAGGAACACCAGUGGCGAAGGCGACUUACUGGACUGUAACUGACGCUGAGGCGCGAAAGUGUGGGGAGCAAACAGGAUUAGAAACCCCUGUAGUCC